rnacentral:rRNA from 1 species
UCGCCUGUUUAUCAAAAACAUCGCCUCUUGCAAAACUCAAAAAUAAGAGGUCCCGCCUGCCCUGUGACUAUUUGUUUAACGGCCGCGGUAUUUUGACCGUGCGAAGGUAGCGCAAUCACUUGUYUUUUAAAUGGAGACCCGUAUGAAUGGCAUAACGAGGGCUUAACUGUCUCCUCUUUCAAGUCAAUGAAAUUGAUCUCCCCGUGCAGAAGCGGGGAUAAAAACAUAAGACGAGAAGACCCUAUGGAGCUUUAGACACCAAGGCAGCCCACGUUAAAGACCCUAAAUAAAGGACUAAACCAAGUGAGCCCUGCCCUAAUGUCUUUGGUUGGGGCGACCGCGGGGAAUUAAAGAACCCCCACGUGGAACGGGAAUACUCUUCCUACAACUAAGAGCUACAGCUCUAAUAAACAGAACUUCUGACCAGCAAGAUCCGGCAAUGCCGAUCAACGGACCGAGUUACCCUAGGGAUAACAGCGCAAUCCUCUUUUAGAGCCCAUAUCGACAAGGGGGUUUACGACCUCGAUGUUGGAUCAGGACAUCCUAAUGGUGCAGCCGCUAUUAAGGGUUCGUUUGUUCAACGAUUAAAGUCCUACGUGAUCUGAGUUCAGAC